UACGUAGGGGGCAAGCGUUGUCCGGAUUUACUGGGCGUGAAGAGCGUGUAGGCGGCCACGCAGGUCCGUUGUGAAAACUGGAGGCUCAACCUUCAGACGUCGACGGAAACCGUAUGGCUAGAGUCCGGAAGAGGAGAGUGGAAUUCCUGGUGUAGCGGUGAAAUGCGCAGAUAUCAGGAAGAACACCAAUGGCGAAGGCAGCUCUCUGGGACGGUACUGACGCUGAGACGCGAAAGCGUGGGGAGCGAACAGG
rnacentral:rRNA from 1 species